UGAGAAACUGAACUAGACACCGAAGAGAAUGAAAGCACGAAGGAUACCUGUGAUUCUCUACUUGACUCCACAAUUUCAAUCUGACCCCAAAGGUGAAGAAAAUUAAGGAUCAAAUUAUCGGAAGUAGGAAAAUGCUCAUGCAUAUCUGACAAUGUGGCCCUUAACUGCUUCUGUAGGACCCCGCUGGACAGGGGGAAGGGAAGAGAUCUCCCUGGGACCUUCAAAAGGGAGAAGUGAAGAUUCUCUUCCCCAAUCCCAAGUAGAUCACCGCAUACUUCCUCUUCUUGGGACUCCAGGUGCAGAGGUGAAGGUCUCCCUACCAGGCCUCGAAGGACAGAAGGAAGUGUCCUGUAAGCAAGCCUCCUCACAGAACUACUUCCCAGCAAAUCCCAGCUUCAUCCUUUCCUGAGCCUUGAGUCAUCUUCUGGAGGGGAAGCUCAGUGACUUAUUUUAUGUCUUCCCCUAAUGUUUUCAGGGAAACACAUGCUACCUCCCUCUCGAGUUCUCUAUGAGGCUGGUGUACUCCCUGGAGAAGUAAGGGCCUAUUGCAGAGAAGAGACUGGGGAAGAUCAGAUUUGGAUUACAAUCAUUUUUCUGCUGGUAUUUCUCAAACGCUACCCCAGUACCAAGUAGUUCUGCUGCUGGAGGAAAGAGCAAAUUUUUUCCAUAUAUUCUGAACCAAUUGUUUUGAGAAACAAAGAACAAUUGCAUUAGGAUGCCAGUGUGCAGAUACACUGUUUAGGAAAACAUUUCCCCACAGAGAAAUAAUUCAAGAGUUCUCUUUUCCCUUGUUCUCUGUAACAAAUGCUACAUUAUAAAAUACUUAUGAAAACAUCACCCUUUCCUCAGAAAUAUUAUUCAGUGAGCUGCUGACUAUCCAACAUAUUGACAGACUUUCCCUUCUGCUAUACUCAGGGGCAGUGAUAGGACCAUGAAAGGAUACUGUCCAUGUGACUAACCAUUGAUGAUACAAGGCUACAAGAUGCUGAGCAAAGCACUUGCAACUCCAACUGAAAACAAAAGAAUCUGAGGGCAUUUAGUACCUCACAAGUUCAGGCCCACAAUGAGUAGGAUUGCUUAUAUAACCCAUCUCCUUUGAUUUACUUCACUAGGCAGUGAGCUAAUUAGAUCCCAUCAUACCAAAAAUACUUUCAGAUACCUGUUUUGGUACCAGCAAACCCCAGCUCUUUAAUUUUUUGGAGUUUCUUCUAAUAUAUCUUUACAGACAGCCUCUCUCAAUGGACUAAACUUUCCUUACUACUAUGAUUUGCUUUCAACCAAUUUGUGUUAAGUGCCUCCAAAAAGGAGUAAAGACAUGGGUUGACAUUUUCUAGUGCAGCUGAGAAGGGAUUGGUGAAAAUUCACAGUAGCAAGGAGUGGAAGGAAAUGUAGCAUCUUUUGUAUCUUCCUCCCCAAUCCUGGGGCUGUAAGAGUGUCGGUCCAGUAAUUGCUGUAAAUUAGAACAGCCUGAACACUGCUCUAACCUGUGUCAAUUGCUAAUGGUCCCCAGGGGCUGUUAUUGUAGCCAAUAAUCUGCCAGGGUAAGGGAGUCCUGGCCAUGCCCCCUUUGCUGCAUGCAGUGGACAGAAGGUCAUAGUAGGUUUCCGCAACAUAUGGAGAAUACACCAGUGGCCAAUUAAGCUAGGCUCAGGUCUGCUUUGGACUUGGGAGGUGGCACAAAGUGACUCUAACACACCAGUGAGUGGGGCCUAUUCUGCCCAUCUGUAUCAGGAAUCUGAAUGUAUUUAUCCUCUUUUUUGACAUCAUUAAACUUAGGGACAUCCAUGGCAGUAAGUAUUGUACAUCAAAACUAGAGAUCAUAAUAAUGAUGCAAUACCGUACGUGGCAAAUCCUGUCCCCACCCACAGCUCAUGUAACCAGGGUCAUGUAGUGAGGAGUUGUACAGAGGAUGGAGAUUGGGAAAGGCUACUCUUCCCCAUAUCAUAGAAUCUGCAGAAUGGGGACAGUAGAUGGUCUGUGAGCCCACCCAUCCUACACCUCCUCUCUAUAGUUGUGCAUAGUGUUAUGGAACCCUUGCAUGGGCUUCCUGUUUCUUGUCCCCCUCCCACCCCCCCGCACAUGGGAUGCCGAUGGAUGCAGGAAGGAGAGAGGACAGGAUUUGUUAACCGAGUCCCUUCACCUCCAC